GCAACAUAUAUAAAUGAUUUUGAAAGUCAUUACAGGUAAUUAAACCUACCAUGUUGUU
rnacentral:tRNA from 1 species